rnacentral:rRNA from 1 species
AUUGAACGCUGGCGGCAUGCUUUACACAUGCAAGUCGAGCGGCAGCGCGGGGGCAACCCUGGCGGCGAGCGGCGAACGGGUGAGUAAUACAUCGGAACGUACCCCGUAGUGGGGGAUAUCUCAGCGAAAGCUGGGCUAAUACCGCAUAUGCUCUACGGAGGAAAGUGGGGGACCCGCAAGGGCCUCACGCUAUGGGAGCGGCCGAUGUCCGAUUAGCUUGUUGGUGAGGUAAAGGCUCACCAAGGCGACGAUCGGUAGCUGGUCUGAGAGGAUGACCAGCCACACUGGGACUGAGACACGGCCCAGACUCCUACGGGAGGCAGCAGUGGGGAAUAUUGGACAAUGGGCGCAAGCCUGAUCCAGCCAUGCCGCGUGUGUGAAGAAGGCCUUAUGGUUGUAAAGCACUUUAAGCGAGGAGGAGGCUACUUUAGUUAAUACCUAGAGAUAGUGGACGUUACUCGCAGAAUAAGCACCGGCUAACUCUGUGCCAGCAGCCGCCGUAAAAC